ACGAGGUGAAUCAGGUGAGCUGGUUCAGGCCCUUGACUAGGUGAAUCAGGUGAGCUGGUUCAUGCCCUUGACUAGGUGAAUCAGGUGAGCUGGUUCAGGCCCUUGACUAGGUGAAUCAGGUGAGCUGGUUCAGGCCCUUGACUAGGUGAAUCAGGUGAGCUGGUUCAGGCCCUUGACUAGGUGAAUCAGGUGAGCUGGUUCAGGCCCUUGACUAGGUGAAUCAGGUGAGCUGAUUCAUGCCCUUGACUAGGUGAAUCAGGUGAGCUGGUUCAGGCCCUUGACUAGGUGAAUCAGGUGAGCUGGUUCAGGCCCUUGACUAGGUGAAUCAGGUGAGCUGGUUCAGGCCCUUGACUAGGUGAAUCAGGUGAGCUGGUUCAGGCCCUUGACUAGGUGAAUCAGGUGAGCUGGUUCAGGCCCUUGACUAGGUGAAUCAGGUGAGCUGGCCACUCUACCAUAAAGGUGGAGUGCUGAAGAGAUGGUUGUUCUUCUGGAAGGUUCUCCCAUCUCUAGAGCUCUGUCAGAGUGACCAUCGGGUUCUGGUCAGCUCCCUGACGAAGGCCCUUCUCCCUUGAUUGCUCAGUUUGGCCGGGCGGCCAGCUCUAGGAAGAGUCUUGGUGGUUCUAAACUCUUCUACCAGUUUAAAAAUGAUGAAGACCACUGUGUUCUUGGGGACCUUCAAUGCUGCAGAAAUGUUUUUGGUACAUUUCCCCAGAUCUGUGCCUCGACACAAUCCUGUCUCAGAGCUCUGUGGACAAUUCCUUCGGCCUCAUGGUGGACUCCAAGUUGGAGAAACAUCUCAAGGAUGAUCAAUGGAAACAGGAUGCACCUGAGCUCAAUUUUGCGUCUCAUAACAAAGGGUCUGAAUACUUAUGUAAAUAGUUUUUUUUUUUUAUAUAUACAUUUGCAAAAAUAUCUAAACUUGUUUUUGCUCUGUCAUUAUGGGGUGUUGUGUGUAGAUUGAAUCAUUUGAUUUAAUCCAUUUUAGAAUAAGGCUGUAACGUGGAGAAAGUCAAGGGGUCUGAAUACUUUCUGAAUGUACUGUACACGGUUCUUUUAUAUCAGCAUCCCCUUGUGUGUUCUUAAAGGUGAAGGUUGUUGUAGCUAACCACAUGAUAGCCAGAUCAGUUUCUGCCUUUGUUCUUGUCAUAUAAAGGGGUGUUGUCUAAAUCAGAAAGGUGACUUUAGUCAGGCCCUGUAUUUGUUCACCUGGAUGAUACCUUCUCAGUGGUUUCUUAGUGGCAGUCCACUAUUCACCAGGCAAUGGGACUUGAAUGCUGCAUUCAUAACCAAGUGGGAGGUGGGAAUUUACCAGUUGGAUGCAUUCACUCGCUUGUGACUGACCAGCUGAAAUUGGUCUUAUGUAGCAAAAAAAAUAAAAGUAGAGACUCAGAGCUACAAAAUGGUAUAUCUUACACUGCAAUUGAGGAACAAUGGGAAAGUAGAUGAACUUGUAAACUCACUUGAGAAAAGGGCCUUUGAUACCUACAAGUCCUGUUCCCAGCCGUCUAAGGAUUCACACGUGAGGUCGCGCGCUAAACAGUGAAGUAAAGAUGAAGACUAAAAGGGGUAGUCUGCAAUAAGGACCAAUUCCAGGUAAAUGUUACUUGUCUAAAUUGAUGGGUCAUGUGAAAUAAAUGCUGUGACCCCCAGCCACAUCCCACAUCAGUAAAAGUAGACAUCAUUCCAAAUUCCUUAAACCAGACAGAUAUUUCCAAAAGGGGAAGAAAACAAAUUUGUACAAACUAAGCAUUUGUGUUUAGUGAGUUGGCUAGAUUAGAGGCAGUAGGGAUGUUCUCUUGAACAGUGUGAAUUUGUAUCAAGUACUUUUGGGUUAAGGGAAAUGUAAGUAAAAAGUACAUUUUCUUUAUGAAUGCAGUGAAGUAAAUGUAGACAAAUAUAUAUACCACAUUACAGCCAAAUGGUUACUUGCAUAGUAGCAAUAUCAGUAAGAUGGUGUCAAACUAAAUAAAAUAUACAGCAUGUACAAUAAUGAUAUGGGUGAGAGACGAGGUAGUUAUAUGCAUACAAUCAGGGGUAAAAUGGCUGAGCAGCAGGAUAACAAACAAAUAGCAGCAACGUAUGGUGUGUGUUAGGAGAGA